GGAGGGAAAACAGAAAGAACAAGUCCUACUUUCAUCCCACACAGACGUAUAGAAACAAGAAGAGACACAAAAGCAGACAUGAAGAGAGCCGUGCAGACAAAAGGGCUUCACACACACACACACACACACACACACCUUUGAUCGUGCUGAGGACCUGGUCCAGGUGUUUGGUGUCGUUGCGGUCCGGCCGGCAGCUCGGGCUGAUCUCCAGCGAGUAGUCAGCGGCUCUGCUCGCUGCCUGCAGGAGCACAGCUGCUCGGCUGCAACGUUUGUUGGGACGUUGAGGACAGAUCGGUGACGUGUGUGAAGCUGUAUCUGACGUGGCGGCUCACAGUUACAAGAUUACAGUCGUCUUGGGAGAUUUUUAACGCCGUGUGGCUGAAUGUUGAGCUCAUUUCUGGAAUGUGGCUUGAGGCCACAAGAUUCCAGGAGGAGAUUUCUCGGAGCGAAGAAACAGACCCAUUUUAUUUCCACAACGUAGUCAGACACUCGAGCCUGUCGGUGGAAAUAAAACAGCUCUUUAGUGGACGGACACGUAGCGCCUCCCUCAUCCCGCGGGGAACAGACGCUGCAGGACGCAGCGAUACAGAAGGAACCCGUGGGCCGUGAGAGCAAAAGUAGCAGUAAUCAAAGAGAUACGCCCCUCGUGCUAGCUCGUUAGCACUUAGCACGAACCCCCCGCCCCCAGCCGACGUUCGUCCCGGAAACACGAAUGUGACGCUCACGGGUGGCGUGAGAGGGGACCGUCAGGACCUCGGGCCUGAGACACCAGUGUGAUGGGACACUUUGAGAUGGACACGCGUUUCUUUCGGGUCAUGUGACGUCUCCGAGCCGCACUGGCGGGCCGGUCGGGGUCACGUACGGGAAAUAAAUGAAAAGCAGAACACAGAAGAGAGAAACCACAUAUCAGUCAAAACGUCCGCAGCCAGAAGGAGAAGAGACGGUCUCGGCACAGACCAGCGGCUCCUGGCAUCUCGCGCCGCCCCGUGAGCGGAGCCAGCCGAUAUGCGCGUACGUGCAAAAAAAACGCAGGUGGCGAUCCAGAGCGCCGUUUCAGGCACAAGCCAAGAGACGCGCAGAGCAUAUUUGCAGGGAUUGUGUUCGGGGCCGUGACUCGGUGCCAUGCGAGCAAAACCAGACGCCCGAGGGCCGCGAGCGCGCCGGCAUGUCUGAUGGCGCUAGAGGAGCCGCUCAAAACAAGCAGGCGACCUGCUCCUGUAAGUCGGGCCGAGGGAUCCUGCAAACAGAAAUAUCUCGUUCUGGACCGAAGCCCUUCAGGAGGAUUAGAUGGACGUCAUUAGAGACAACGUCUGUGUGGGCAACAAACACACACACACACACAGAGAGCUGAGCCAACGUGCAGUAGGAGUAU
ensembl:lncRNA